rnacentral:rRNA from 1 species
GAUGAACGCUGGCGGCGUGCCUAACACAUGCAAGUCGAGCGGCAGCGAGGGGUGCUUGCACCCUGUCGGCGAGCGGCGGACGGCUGAGUAACGCGUGGGAACGUGCCCCAAAGUGAGGAAUAACUGCCCGAAAGGGUAGCUAAUACCGCAUAUUAUCUUCGGAUCAAAGGAUUUAUCCGCUUUGGGAGCGGCUCGCGUCGGAUUAGGUAGUUGGUGAGGUAAUGGCUCACCAAGCCGACGAUCCGUAGCUGGUCUGAGAGGAUGACCAGCCGGACUGGAACUGAGACACGGUCCAGACUCCUACGGGAGGCAGCAGUGAGGAAUCUUCCACAAUGGGCGAAAGCCUGAUGGAGCAACGCCGCGUGCAGGACGAAGGCCUUCGGGUUGUAAACUGCUUUUAUAAGUGAGGAAUAUGACGGUAACUUAUGAAUAAGGAUCGGCUAACUACGUG